UGAGCUGGAACCAAUUACCCAAAAACCCAUUGAAACAAUGGUUUUGGUUAACGAAUUUUUCGGUUAACGAGCAACCUUCUAGAAAGAAUUGUGCUCAUUAACCGAAGGACCACUGUAUGGUAAUCAAAUAUGAAAACCUUGCCACAAACAUUAAACCAAUAUUAACCUAAGAUAUAAUAAAUGUAAUAUUUUACAUGUCAGAUCAGUGUUGAUAAACUGUAGGUUAGGUUAGGUUAGGUUAGGUAUUACAGUUUUAUGAUAAAAUAAAUGUAAUAUUUUACAUGUCAGAUCAGUGUUGAUAAACUGUAAGUAAUAAAGAAUUAAAAACUU
rnacentral:lncRNA from 1 species